UACAGAGACUGCAAGCGUUAUUCGGAUUCACUGGGCGUAAAGGGCGCGUAGGCGGCCACCGCAAGUCGACUGUGAAAUCUCCGGGCUUAACCCGGAAAGGUCAGCCGAUACUGCGGGGCUAGAGUGCAGAAGGGGCAACUGGAAUUCUCGGUGUAGCGGUGAAAUGCGUAGAUAUCGAGAGGAACACCUGCGGCGAAGGCGGGUUGCUGGGCUGACACUGACGCUGAGGCGCGAAAGCGUGGGGAGCAAACAGG
rnacentral:rRNA from 1 species